CAGAAGCCACAGGUAGCGAAGUUCAGAGACAGAAAACAUCUCUAAUUGUAUUGAUACUUGUUGAGAAGGUGAUGGUCAAGAUAGUAAAUCAGAAAAAAAAAGAGUAAAUAGACACUACGGAAAGGCCUAAAUUCUUCCAUCAAAUGCUAGGAGUCAACUACAACCGAAACCGGAGAGUAGCCUUUCUCAUUUUGGUCUGGUCACACUCCAGAGGCUCAAUAGCCCCACGUGGCUGUAAGAUAAUUUCAGCCAGGUGAGUAUAAAUGUCAGCAUUUGGGCUUCCAGACUGCAUGCAAGUGAAGAGGAAGGAAAG
rnacentral:lncRNA from 1 species